rnacentral:tRNA from 1 species
AAAGGUUUAGUAUAUUAAGUAUAUUUUAUUGUCAAUAAUUAGGUUUUGCCUUUA